UAAUGUUAUAACACCCCUCACUACAGUUACUACAGAGCAGGUACAGUAACGUUAUAACACCCCUCACUACAGUUACUACAGAGCAGGUACAGUAAUGUUGUAACACCCCUCACUACAGUUACUACAGAGUAGGUACAGUAACGUUAUAACACCCCUCACUACAGUUACUACAGAGCAGGUACAGUAACGUUAUAACACCCCUCACUACAGUUACUACAGAGCAGGUACAGUAACGUUAUAACACCCCUCACUACAGUUACUACAGAGCAGGUACUGUAACGUUAUAACACCCCUCACUACAGUUACUACAGAGCAGGUACUGUAACGUUAUAACACCCCUCACUACAGAGCAGGUACAGUAAUGUUAUAACACCCCUCACUACAGUUACUACAGAGCAGGUACUGUAACGUUAUAACACCCCUCACUACAGAGCAGGUACAGUAAUGUUAUAACACCCCUCACUACAGUUACUACAGAGCAGGUACAGUAAUGUUAUAACACCCCUCACUACAGUUACUACAGAGCUGGUACAGUAACGUUAUAACACCCUUCACUACAGUUACUACAGAGCAGGUACAGUAACGUUAUAACACCCCUCACUGCAGUUACUACAGAGCAGGUACAGUAACGUUAUAAUACCCCUCACUACAGUUACUACAGAGCAGGUACUGUAACGUUAUAACACCCCUCACUACAGUUACUACAGAGCAGGUACUGUAACGUUAUAACACCCCUCACUACAGAGCAGGUACAGUAAUGUUAUAACACCCCUCACUACAGUUACUACAGAGCAGGUACUGUAACGUUAUAACACCCCUCACUACAGUUACUACAGAGCAGGUACUGUAACGUUAUAACACCCCUCACUACAGAGCAGGUACAGUAAUGUUAUAACACCCCUCACUAUAGUUACUACAGAGCAGGUACAGUAACGUUAUAACCCCUCACUACAGUUACUACAGAGCAGGUACAGUAAUGUUAUAACACCCCUCACUACAGUUACUACAGAGCAGGUACAGUAACGUUAUAACACCCCUCACUACAGAGCAGGUACAGUAAUGUUAUAACACCCCUCACUACAGUUACUACAGAGCAGGUACAGUAAUGUUAUAACACCCCUCACUACAGUUACUACAGAGCUGGUACAGUAACGUUAUAACACCCUUCACUACAGUUACUACAGAGCAGGUACAGUAACGUUAUAACACCCCUCACUGCAGUUACUACAGAGCAGGUACAGUAACGUUAUAAUACCCCUCACUACAGUUACUACAGAGCAGGUACUGUAACGUUAUAACACCCCUCACUACAGUUACUACAGAGCAGGUACUGUAACGUUAUAACACCCCUCACUACAGAGCAGGUACAGUAAUGUUAUAACACCCCUCACUACAGUUACUACAGAGCAGGUACUGUAACGUUAUAACACCCCUCACUACAGUUACUACAGAGCAGGUACUGUAACGUUAUAACACCCCUCACUACAGUUACUACAGAGCAGGUACAGUAACGUUAUAACACCCCUCACUGCAGUUACUACAGAGCAGGUACAGUAACGUUAUAACCCCUCACUACAGUUACUACAGAGCAGGUACUGUAACGUUAUAACACCCCUCACUACAGUUACUACAGAGCAGGUACAGUAACGUUAUAACACCCCUCACUACAGUUACUACAGAGCAGGUACAGUAACGUUAUAACACCCCUCACUACAGAGCAGGUACAGUAAUGUUAUAACACCCCUCACUACAGUUACUACAGAGCAGGUACUGUAACGUUAUAACACCCCUCACUACAGUUACUACAGAGCAGGUACUGUAACGUUAUAACACCCCUCACUACAGAGCAGGUACAGUAAUGUUAUAACACCCCUCACUAUAGUUACUACAGAGCAGGUAUAGUAACGUUAUAACCCCUCACUACAGUUACUACAGAGCAGGUACAGUAACGUUAUAACACCCCUCACUACAGUUACUACAGAGCAGGUACAGUAACGUUAUAACACCCCUCACUACAGAGCAGGUACAGUAAUGUUGUAACACCCCUCACUACAGUUACUACAGAGCAGGUACAGUAACGUUAUAACACCCCUCACUACAGUUACUACAGAGCAGGUACAGUAACGUUAUAACACCCCUCACUACAGUUACUACAGAGCAGGUACAGUAACGUUAUAACACCCCUCACUACAGUUACUACAGAGCAGGUACUGUAACGUUAUAACACCCCUCACUACAGUUACUACAGAGCAGGUACAGUAAUGUUAGACCACCCCUCACUACAGUUACUACAGAGCAGGUACAGUAACGUUAUAACACCCCUCACUACAGUUACUACAGAGCAGGUACUGUAACGUUAUAACACCCCUCACUACAGUUACUACAGAGCAGGUACAGUAAUGUUAGACCACCCCUCACUACAGUUACUACAGAGCAGGUACAGUAACGUUAUAACACCCUUCACUACAGUUACUACAGAGCAGGUACUGUAACGUUAUAACACCCCUCACUACAGUUACUACAGAGCAGGUACUGUAACGUUAUAACACCCCUCACUACAGUUACUACAGAGCAGGUACUGUAACGUUAUAACACCCCUCACUACAGUUACUACAGAGCAGGUACAGUAAUGUUAGACCACCCCUCACUACAGUUACUACAGAGCAGGUACAGUAACGUUAUAACACCCCUCACUACAGUUACUACAGAGCAGGUACUGUAACGUUAUAACACCCCUCACUACAGUUACUACAGAGCAGGUACAGUAAUGUUAGACCACCCCUCACUACAGUUACUACAGAGCAGGUACAGUAACGUUAUAACACCCUUCACUACAGUUACUACAGAGCAGGUACUGUAACGUUAUAACACCCCUCACUACAGUUACUACAGAGCAGGUACUGUAACGUUAUAACACCCCUCACUACAGUUACUACAGAGCAGGUACUGUAACGUUAUAACACCCCUCACUACAGUUACUACAGAGCAGGUACAGUAACGUUAUAACCCCUCACUACAGUUACUACAGAGCAGGUACAGUAACGUUAUAACACCCCUCACUACAGAGCAGGUACAGUAAUGUUAUAACACCCCUCACUACAGUUGCUACAGAGCAGGUACUGUAACGUUAUAACACCCCUCACUACAGAGCAGGUACAGUAAUGUUAUAACACCCCUCACUACAGUUACUACAGAGCAGGUACUGUAACGUUAUAACACCCCUCACUACAGUUACUACAGAGCAGGUACAGUAAUGUUAUAACACCCCUCACUACAGUUACUGCAGAGCAGGUACAGUAAUGUUAUAACACCCCUCACUACAGUUACUACAGAGCAGGUACAGUAACGUUAUAACACCCCUCACUACAGAGCAGGUACAGUAAUGUUAUAACACCCCUCACUAUAGUUACUACAGAGCAGGUACAGUAACGUUAUAACCCCUCACUACAGUUACUACAGAGCAGGUACAGUAACGUUAUAACACCCCUCACUACAGUUACUACAGAGCAGGUACUGUAACGUUAUAACACCCCUCACUACAGUUACUACAGAGCAGGUACAGUAAUGUUAUAACACCCCUCACUACAGUUACUACAGAGCAGGUACAGUAAUGUUAUAACACCCCUCACUACAGUUACUACAGAGCAGGUACAGUAACGUUAUAACACCCCUCACUACAGUUACUACAGAGCAGGUACAGUAAUGUUAUAACACCCCUCACUACAGUUACUACAGAGCAGGUACUGUAACGUUAUAACACCCCUCACUACAGUUACUACAGAGCAGGUACAUUAGCUAUUAUAUUCUACAAGUGUCUGGAACUCUAUUGGAGGGAUGGGACACCAUUUUUCCCAGAUAAAUCUCAUCAUUUGGUGUUUUGUUGAUGGUGGUGGAAAAUGCUGUCUCAGGCGCCACUCCAGAAUCCCCCUUAAGUGUUCAAUUGGUUUGAGGUCUGGUGACAGACAGCCAUGGCAUAUGGUUUACAUCAUUUUCAUGCUCAUCAAAUUAUUCAGUGCCCUAUGGAUGGGGGCAUUGUCAUCCAAUGGAGGGAUAGCCAUAGUAGCAAAAAUAAUGGCCUGCCCAGCAUUUUUAUACAUGACCUAAGCAUGUUGGGAUGUUAAUUACUUUAUUAAUUCAGGAACCACACCUGUGUGGAAGCACCUGCUUUCAAUAUACUUUGUGUCCCUCAUGUCUGUUAUCUGUAGAUCUGGGACCAGUCUAGGUUACCUUGGAGGUGAGCUGCAGGCUAGAGAUUAAGAUGAUAUGGUGUUGAUGUUCACUGUUUGUUGUGCCAGAGGAAAUGGGUCGCUCUGUUGAAGUAUUCAUCAGCUAGCUAGACUCCUUUCACCUCACCUUUGUUGAUAUGGAUUAUUGAACUGGAACAUUGCUCUCUGCCAGUGCUUGAAUUGGACUUAAAUAGGUGCCAGUACUCAUUUUGGGUGACGGUACAGUUUUUAUUUAGGUGAAGGAACUCCAUAAUACUUUUGCGCUAAUAUUCUUUAUGUGGUGCAGGAACUCAAGCUGUAGAACAUUUGAGGUUCCGGUGAACUCCUUCCCAAUUCAAGCACUGCUCUCUGCGCUAGUCUGAAAUAUACUGCUAAAAAAAAUAAAGGGAACACUUAAACAACACACCCUAGAUCUGAAUGAAAGAAAU